rnacentral:misc_RNA from 1 species
CACUGAGGCGACCUGAUUUCUGCAUCGCAAUGCGUAAACGUGUUUUAUCCAGCAUGGUAAUCCUCUUCUCUUUUAACUUUAUAAAAUGGUGAGCAACAAAAAAGCCCUCGGAAGAUA